UACGUAGGUGACAAGCGUUGUCCGGAUUUACUGGGCGUAAAGAGCGCGCAGGCGGUCGAUCAAGUCGAGUGUGAAAGCCCCCGGCUCAACUGGGGAGGGUCAUUCGAUACUGAUCGACUCGAAGGCAGGAGAGGGUAGUGGAAUUCCCGGUGUAGUGGUGAAAUGCGUAGAUAUCGGGAGGAACACCGGUGGCGAAGGCGGCGACCUGGGUCGAGACUGACGCUGAGGCGCGAAAGCGUGGGGAGCAAACAGG
rnacentral:rRNA from 1 species